rnacentral:lncRNA from 1 species
AACCGCUAAUCCGUUCUUCCUCUCGAAAAAGUUCAACCUUUCGACCCACAAAUCAAAUCAGAGAUGAGAUAUGGCGAUUGAUGCUUAUCAGAAGCUACCGUGCUUCUCACCCUUCUUCGUGACUCGGAGCGAGAACAAAGAUGAUGACGGCCAUGAUUCGAUCUUGGCACAAGCAGAGACGAAAUCAACUCAAGCUCUCGAGAUAAGAACCGGUUAACAAGAAACCCAUGUUUCAUCAUCUUCCCAAGAAGAGACAGAGCGAGAGAGGAGCUGACCAACACUGAGAACGGGCUGAUAACAGAGAAGAGAAGAAGAAAAGAGCGAUCUGGAGUCAAUCACCUCGUCAUCUUGUUGCAGACUUGGCUCAAGCUUCAUCAAUGAGCUUAGCUAGCAAGCUCCCGAGACAAGCUUGCCAUAAUUGGCACAAGCUUUUCUCCCCCGACAAGAGUUCACCACAACCACCAUGUCGGCGCAAAACGGAGAAGCACAUCUGGUGCUAGCUAAGCUCAUUGCUUUCUGAUUUGAAUCUUUGCCAGAGAGAUCACGGUGUGUUCCAUCGAUGGACAAAGCUUCUCCUGCAGUAGCUGUACCAUUCAGACAAAGCUCUCAAGACGUUACUGUCGUCGUUCUCUGGCGAGGGAAACAGAGGCGGUUGUGGGUUGGUUCUUAAGCUGAUGAGAUAAAGGAAGAAGCUUUCUUAUGAAAGACCCACCAAAGUUAAAGCCCCACAAAUUAGUUGGUUCGUGUGGUUUAAAUCACUAUGCCGAGGACGUUUGAUCUAAUCUUGGUUUCAAAGAGCCCAAGCUCCUUAUCAUCUCGCCGUCUAUUCCGCAUUGACAACCACUUCAGCGGUCAGCUUCUUCUUGUUUUUAUUGCACAUACGAGAUUCUCUGCGGGAUCAAGGCAUCAUCAAGUUCUGGCCUUUCUUCAGAUUUGUCACUAGAGAAGAAGACCUGAUUCAGGAGACGCUGAGACAUUUCGACUGGAGUUUACUCUUCUGCUGUGACACCCCAAGAACGUUGGAUCAGAUCAUGGAGCCUGAUAUAGUCGGCAACUGUUGUUGAGAAGAGUGUGAUUCUUCUUAUGUUCAAGAAUAAAAAUAUGAGGCACGGCAUUAUCCCUUUCAUUUUAAGUCAUCAGUGGCUCUCACAACGGAACACAACAUCAGUUUCGUCUUGAAACAAUUCUUCUCGCCCUAGUAUCUACUUCAAAAUCACUGACUGUGGCAGCCAUGAGUCUGAUUUCUGUAACACGAUGGGCAACAUGUGAGAUCGAGAUGAUGACGCUUUCAAGCACCGUCAAGGACAGCUUACUGGCGACUUGAGUUCUUUUUUUUCGAAGUUUUACUGGCCUGAGCCCCAACGUCAACAUUUUCUCCUCGUCAUAACUCUUUCUGCGAAAGUGGAGAUUGCAACCAGCCGUUAAGCUCGGCUUCUCAGAUAAUAGCAAUCACAUGCUUUGUUCUCAGCAAGUACGCGAUCUCGGCAAAAGCGAGGAGCAGCUACCGUGAUCUCGUCAAAACGCUGACUACGUUCAUCAUCCUAGUCGUUGUUGCGAUGACACAAAAAUAUGACGAUAUAAGUUUUCUAAUCUUAUUAGUUAAUUAUUUACACCAGAUGCACCGCUUUAUACUUUGCGGCAGUACAAAUAUCUUCACUUAAUAUCUUGUUAGUAAGGUUGAUAUUAAACGUGAUGUCCCAUAUUAAUAAUUGACAUGCUUGCUUGUGCCUCACGGCACCCCAUUUUAUAUAGAAGAUCAAAUUAAUGG